CUCCAGCUCCGAGUCCCUAAUAGGACGAAACGCGCGUCCUGGAC
rnacentral:hammerhead_ribozyme from 1 species